rnacentral:rRNA from 1 species
CCGACGGUGAGAGGUGAAAGCUGGGGGAGCAAACCGGAUUAGAUACCCGGGUAGUCCCAGCUGUAAACGAUGCGCGUUAGGUGUUGGUAGGGCUCUGAGCCGUAUCAGUGCCGUAGGGAAACUGUUAAACGCGCCGCCUGGGAAGUACGCUCGCAAGGGUGAAACUUAAAGGAAUUGGCGGGGGAGCACCACAAGGGGUGAAGCCUGCGGUUCAAUUGGACUCAACGCCGGGAAACUUACCGGGGGC